UCAUAAUACAGCGAAGUACCGUAUACUAUAACAAACAGACAACACUCACGUGUUGCAGCACGCAACAGAUACGGACAUAUCAUUACGAGAAACGUCUCUCACUUUAAACCAUUACAAACGAACAAUAAAGUAGAUACAGAUGAUGAGGAUGAUGAUUCGACAGUUAACAACAACGACAAUGGACAGAACAAGGCUAACCACACUGAUAGUGGUAAUAAUGAACCAAGUAUUCGCAAGUCGUCCAGAAACACCAAG